UGUCAGAAAGGACAUCCGGCGUUGAAUUCUCUGCCAAACCAUUUGUAUGAAUCAAUGAAAGCUGCUUCACUGUGGCGACCCCUGAAGGGAUAUGCUAAAAGGUGUACAACAACAACAACAUUUGCAUUUAUUCCAGAGAAAAACCCAUUCAGCUAUCUGUGAAAACAUCCAGUGCGAUUUAACUACUUGAGUGAUUCCAAUUGUGUGAGUCAGAUAUGACAUGAUCAUCAUUCCACCCAUAGGUCUGGGGCUCCAAACAAGACUUGAUGGGGUGGGGUUUUCCUGAUCACGAGAACAGUGAGAAAUCAGCCUAAAACACAGCAGGAGUUGGUUGAUGAUGUCAAAGCAGCUGGAACCACAGUCACCAAGAAAACCACAGUAAUACUUUGCACCGCAAUGAUUUAACAUCUUGUAAAGUCCCCCUGCUAAAGAAGGCACAUGUGCAGGCCUGCCUCAACUUUGCAAAUGAACACCUUCAUGAGUUAAAGAGUGAUUGGGAGAAGGAGCUAUGGUCAGAUCAGACCUACAUGGAGCUCUUUGGCUUCAACUCAACCCGCCGUGUUUAGAGGAAGAGAAAUGCUGAUGGUGUUCAAUUAUGUUGCAAGAACACCAACCCCCACGGUCAAGCACGGAAGUGAAAACAUCAUGCCUGGGGGGGGGGGGUUGCAUAAUGCUACUUCACCGUGUGGAUGGGAGGAUGGGCAGAGCCAUGUACCAUCAAGUCCUGAGUAAGAACCUCCUUCCCUCCUUAAGCCAGGAGGCUUAAAACGUGUUGUGGGUUGGUCUUCCAACAGGAUAAUGACCCAAAUUAAACAGCCAAGGCAACCAAGGAAUGACUGAAGAAGGAGCAUAUCAAGGUCAUGGAGCGGCCCGGGCAGUCUCCGGACUUCAAUCCUAUAGAAACUAUAUAGAGAGAGCUACAGCUCAGAGUUUCCAAGCAACAGCAACCAAAUCACUCUUCUUUGCAACUGAUUUAGAAAUCUUGCAGAGAAGAGUGGACCAGAAUUCCUCCUUAAAAGUGCAGAAAACUGGACAUCAACCACAAGAACAGUCUGUCCUCUGUUCUGCUAAUAAGUGUUUUGCCACAAAGUAAGUAAGUCUUUCUGGCAAGAGGGUUCAAGUACUUAUUUCCUUCACUGUACGAGUGUCUAGCUGUUCUGUUUCUGAUCCAUGAAAUGAAAGCAAAACAACCAUGAGUGCAACACGAAAUUACUCAUCAUAAGAAAGACUUUCCAGGAUUUAAAUCAAAUAUGUGAGCUAAUGAAGACCUGAGGGAAUUGCAAUGUGAGUAGAAAACACAAUAAUUACAAUUUGAUUUGUCAAAGUGUGACAUGUCAUCAGAUUAUAAAGUGUCUGAUUAUCUACCCUUAUUUUGUGUGCACUUAGUCUUAGUUACAUUGACAAAAUGCACUAUCUGAUGUUGUCAAUCAUCUAGGGUUUAGUUUAUCUAUGUUUCAGACUCAAAAGGGACCACAUGUAUUCUUUAUUUUGACCUGCUAAACAAAACUUUCAGACCUUUUUUGUUUUUCUACCACUGCUGCCUUUAUUUACAACUAUCAGUUGGCAGACAAGGCUUAAAAUAUCCUGUUCCUCUUCCUUGUUUAACUCUCAUUUGCAUGCAUGUGAAUGAACAAAGUGGUUUGUGUCAGCGAGUGCAUGACAAAAAGCAACCGUGAACUUCGGAAAAUCCCUUUCAGUAUGUUUAGGUGGAGUUGCCAUGGUCACACUUGCAACACUUCAUUGAAAUAUGGGAAGGAACAUACCUAAAGCAAUGUUUUUCUGUUACCAAAAAGUUUUAUUAACAGGUUCUGGUUAGAGACUUCCGCGUAUCUCACCCUGACUCAUCAGACUCCUAUCUGGACUCAAGGCCACGCUCAUGCCAACACUCUGUCUGCUGUUUUCUAUUUAGAACCCGUAGGGUGUUGUGGCUUGUUCGUGUGUGUCUGAGUGAGAGUGCGGGCGUGUGGGUGUUUGCGUUGUGUGUGUAGGAGUAACAGCAAGAGCCUUGAAAAUCCAACUGCUAAUACUACCCACAGCUGCUUGGGACACCGGGGAGAGUGUGUGUGCCUUGGUGUGUUACAGAUAACACAACCUUUUGUACAAUUACAUCCAGUUAGUCAUAAUUAUUAAAAGAUUGGCAGCAAAAAUAUUUGAAAACAAGAUCCAGAUUGAAGCGGUGAAAAGCAGUUUACAUUUCUUAGACAUUUGAUCUUUUUUUUUAGUUUAAAACAAAUUAAAAUGAAACAACAUUGUAAAACUAUAUCAUUUCUAUGAGUACUAUUAACAACUUCACUCAGAAUAUCAUGUGCUUCAUGCUUUUUCCAGAUAAGUGGUUGGGUGUGCCACCUGGUGGACAUAAUGAGUUCCUCUUAUAAGCCUGUAUAUGAAAGUUUUUUCACACAUACUGUAAUUUAAAGUGGUAUUCCAUUCUAAAUUGCAAAAUGUAUUUUAAAUUGCAUGAUUAAAUUUUUAAUUCAAUUGUCAA